AUGACCCGGCGGCCGCUCAAUCCAGAUGAUGAAGAGGGGCUCGAUGGCGACCGGGUCGUUGUCAAAGAGGCGAGGCGGAACUAUCCCCGCAUCUUCCAGAUCAGACAAGGCUCGCAGGCGGAGGCAAGACCAGCUUUGAGGCGGACGACUGCCACCAGCGGCGGUGAAGCGGCGAAGUAUAAAGGCGGCUCAGUCAAGCGGAGCAGCAACGGUAGAUCAAUGCUUGCCUCGGGACUUGAUUCCCUUGCGGAUGCUGCGUACGGAGUAGCAGUUGCAAGGCGUCGGAAGAGCAAGGAUAGCUGCAGCCCUUCGGGAUUCUCCACCAGUCGGGCCGUAAGUAAGAACAUGGCAGAUGAAUCGCCUCCUGCAGAAAACCUCAACCCGGAAUAA
rnacentral:rRNA from 1 species